GAUGAACGCUGGCGGCGUGCCUAAUACAUGCAAGUCGAGCGAACGGACAAGAAGCUUGCUUCUCUGAUGUUAGCGGCGGACGGGUGAGUAACACGUGGAUAACCUACCUAUAAGACUGGGAUAACUUCGGGAAACCGGAGCUAAUACCGGAUAAUAUUUUGAACCGCAUGGUUCAAAAGUGAAAGACGGUCUUGCUGUCACUUAUAGAUGGAUCCGCGCUGCAUUAGCUAGUUGGUAAGGUAACGGCUUACCAAGGCAACGAUGCAUAGCCGACCUGAGAGGGUGAUCGGCCACACUGGAACUGAGACACGGUCCAGACUCCUACGGGAGGCAGCAGUAGGGAAUCUUCCGCAAUGGGCGAAAGCCUGACGGAGCAACGCCGCGUGAGUGAUGAAGGUCUUCGGAUCGUAAAACUCUGUUAUUAGGGAAGAACAGAUGUGUAAGUAACUGUGCACAUCUUGACGGUACCUAAUCAGAAAGCCACGGCUAACUACGUG
rnacentral:rRNA from 1 species